AAAGAGAAGAAGAAGAGUCAUGCUUUGAUGUCAAAGAAAAUGGAACUAGCCAGUUGAAGAGAGAACACAAUGGCCAAUAUGCUGAAGAAUUUGCAGCUGAAAGCAGAUGAAAGAAGAACUUAUCUCCAACAACAAAACAGACAAUUGUUGCUAGAAAUGGAAUCAAGGCUUCAAAGUCGUUCAAACUGACGAGAGACGCUGAAAACGUUGAUGAUGCUGAGGAAGAAGUUUUUCCAACUGAUGAUCUAAUAAAAAGACUUAACUCUGCUGUAUCAGAAACAAAUACAAUGCAAGAAAUGUUAUCCCUGAAAGGAAUAAACCCAAAGCACCAUUUCCUAUCUUUGGCAUAUCGAUGGAGGAAUUAAGCAAAACAAUUUUCAUUGCAGGUGAAAUCAACAUUUUUGAAAGUUUCAGAAAUUAUC